GAUGAAGAACGUAGCGAAAUGCGAUAAGUAGUGUGAAUUGCAGAAUUCAGUGAAUCAUCGAAUCUUUGAACGCACAUUGCGCCCUUUGGUAUUCCUUAGGGCAUGCCUGUUCGAGCGUCAUUUAAACCUUCAAGCUCAGCUUGGUGUUGGGUGACUGUCCGCUUCACCGCGGACUCGCCUCAAAAUUAUUGGCGGCCGGUACAUUGGCUCUCGAGCGCAGCAGAAACGCGUAACUCGAGGUCCUCGUGCUGGCUCCCAGAAGCUAUCUUCACAAUUUUGACCUCGGAUCAGGUAGGGAUACCCGCUGAACUUAAGCAUAUCAAAAGCGGAGA
rnacentral:misc_RNA from 1 species